AAGCUGUCCCCCUCAGAUUAGCAAGAUGUACACUCUCCCCACUCCCAUUCAACAUUGUGCUAGAAGUUCAAGCCAAAGUAAUUAGGCAAGAAAAAGAAAUAAAAGGCUUCCAGUUUAGAAAGGAAGAAGCAAAACUAUCUCUUUUUUGCAGAUGACAUGAUUUUGAAUGUAGAAAAUCCUGAGGAAUCCACUAAAUUGAAUGAUUAGAACAUAGUCCCUACUUUCAAGGCAUUCCCAGGCAAGG